UACGGAGGGUGCAAGCGUUAUCCGGAUUCACUGGGUUUAAAGGGUGCGUAGGAGGGCAGGUAAGUCAGUGGUGAAAUCCCCGAGCUUAACUUGGGAACUGCCGUUGAUACUAUUUGUCUUGAAUAUUGUGGAGGUAAGCGGAAUAUGUCAUGUAGCGGUGAAAUGCUUAGAUAUGACAUAGAACACCAAUUGCGAAGGCAGCUUACUACACAAUGAUUGACGCUGAGGCACGAAAGCGUGGGGAUCAAACAGG
rnacentral:rRNA from 1 species